rnacentral:tRNA from 1 species
UCCCUGGUGGUCCAGUGGGUAACACUCUGCACUCCCAGUGUAGGAGGCCCAGGUUCAAUUGCUGGUCAGGGAA